AGGGCACCACCAGGAGUGGAGCCUGCGGCUUAAUUUGACUCAACACGGGAAAACUCACCCGGCCCGGACACUGGAAGGAUUGACAGAUUGAGAGCUCUUUCUUGAUUCAGUGGGUGGUGGUGCAUGGCCGUUCUUAGUUGGUGGAGUGAUUUGUCUGGUUAAUUCCGAUAACGAACGAGACUCUAGCCUACUAAAUAGAUCGUCGGCUUACAAACGCCGGCGAGACUUCUUAGAGGGACAGGCGGUGAUUCAACCGCACGAAACAGAGCAAUAACAGGUCUGUGAUGCCCUUAGAUGUCCGGGGCCGCACGCGCGCUACACUGAAGUGAUCAGCGUGCAUUUGUUCUCGCUCCGUGAGGAGCGAGUAACCCAAGGAACCUUCUUCGCGAUAGGGAUUGGGCAUUGUAAUUAUUGCCCAUGAACGAGGAAUUCCCAGUAAGCGCGAGUCAUUAGCUUGCGUUGAUUACGUCCCUGCCCUUUGUACACACCGCCCGUCGCUACUACCGAUUGAAUGAUAGA
rnacentral:rRNA from 1 species